rnacentral:misc_RNA from 1 species
AAGAAGAAGAGAGAGUAAUGGCCUCGAGUGCUUAUAGAAAUGGCACUUCAAAGGGAGCACCAAAGCCUCUUGCUUCAUAUACAAAAUCAUCGUCUUUUAAAUCCAGGCUCCAUCCGUCGCAGUCCUCAGGUGCCGUCCUUCGCCGCAGUUCGUACGGUCAAAACGCUGCCGCUGCUGCCGGAGAUGAUGGAGUACCUGGAAGA